rnacentral:rRNA from 1 species
GACGAACGCUUUUGGCGUGCUUAACACAUGCAAGUCGAACGGAAAGGCCCUGCUUUUGUGGGGUGCUCGAGUGGCGAACGGGUGAGUAACACGUGAGUAACCUGCCCUUGACUUUGGGAUAACUUCAGGAAACUGGGGCUAAUACCGGAUAGGAGCUCCUGCUGCAUGGUGGGGGUUGGAAAGUUUCGGCGGUUGGGGAUGGACUCGCGGCUUAUCAGCUUGUUGGUGGGGUAGUGGCUUACCAAGGCUUUGACGGGUAGCCGGCCUGAGAGGGUGACCGGCCACAUUGGGACUGAGAUACGGCCCAGACUCCUACGGGAGGCAGCAGUGGGGAAUAUUGCACAAUGGGCGGAAGCCUGAUGCAGCAACGCCGCGUGCGGGAUGACGGCCUUCGGGUUGUAAACCGCUUUCGCCUGUGACGAAGCGUGAGUGACGGUAAUGGGUAAAGAAGCACCGGCUAACUACGUGCCAGCAGCCGCGGUGAUACGUAGGGUGCGAGCGUUGUCCGGAUUUAUUGGGCGUAAAGGGCUCGUAGGUGGUUGAUCGCGUCGGAAGUGUAAUCUUGGGGCUUAACCCUGAGCGUGCUUUCGAUACGGGUUGACUUGAGGAAGGUAGGGGAGAAUGGAAUUCCUGGUGGAGCGGUGGAAUGCGCAGAUAUCAGGAGGAACACCAGUGGCGAAGGCGGUUCUCUGGGCCUUUCCUGACGCUGAGGAGCGAAAGCGUGGGGAGCGAACAGGCUUAGAUACCCUGGUAGUCCACGCUGUAAACGGUGGGUACUAGGUGUGGGGUCCAUUCCACGGGUUCCGUGCCGUAGCUAACGCUUUAAGUACCCCGCCUGGGGAGUACGGCCGCAAGGCUAAAACUCAAAGGAAUUGACGGGGCCCCGCACAAGCGGCGGAGCAUGCGGAUUAAUUCGAUGCAACGCGUAGAACCUUACCUGGGUUUGACAUGGAUCGGGAGUGCUCAGAGAUGGGUGUGCCUCUUUUGGGGUCGGUUCACAGGUGGUGCAUGGCUGUCGUCAGCUCGUGUCGUGAGAUGUUGGGUUAAGUCCCGCAACGAGCGCAACCCUUGUUCACUGUUGCCAGCACGUUAUGGUGGGGACUCAGUGGAGACCGCCGGGGUCAACUCGGAGGAAGGUGGGGAUGACGUCAAGUCAUCAUGCCCCUUAUGUCCAGGGCUUCACGCAUGCUACAAUGGCUGGUACAGAGAGUGGCGAGCCUGUGAGGGUGAGCGAAUCUCGGAAAGCCGGUCUCAGUUCGGAUUGGGGUCUGCAACUCGACCUCAUGAAGUCGGAGUCGCUAGUAAUCGCAGAUCAGCAACGCUGCGGUGAAUACGUUCCCGGGGCUUGUACACACCGCCCGUCAAGUCAUGAAAGUUGGUAACACCCGAAGCCGGUGGCCUAACCAAUGUGGGGGAGCCGUCGAAGGUGGGACUGGUGAUUAGGCC